UACGUAGGGUGCAAGCGUUAAUCGGAAUUACUGGGCGUAAAGGGAGCGUAGGCGGAUAGUUUAGUCAGAGGUGAAAGCCCAGGGCUCAACCUUGGAAUUGCCUUUGAUACUGGCUAUCUUGAGUGUGGGAGAGGUAUGUGGAACUCCGAGUGUAGAGGUGAAAUUCGUAGAUAUUCGGAAGAACACCAGUGGCGAAGGCGACAUACUGGCCCAUUACUGACGCUGAGGCUCGAAAGCGUGGGGAGCAAACAGG
rnacentral:rRNA from 1 species